AUGAAGAGAUAAUCAUAUUCACUUCAGUAUCAGUGGUCAUAAUGUUAUGGCUGAUCAGUGUAUGUCGGCUACAUUACUUUAGACCCUUGGAGAUCAUAAGAACAUCAACUUAUGAGUUUGUAACAGCCCUAUGUAGAGUCUAUAGCAUCUGGUGACACCUGCCAGAGACUUCACUGCACUGUGAUUGGGUGUUGAAAGCACUGGCUGGGAGCUUCAGUUGUCUGAAGGAGGCUGUUAUGGCAGUUCUGCAAAGCUCAGUGAGGAGACCAUCAUUCGAAACAAUGUCUUUCUGUUUGUUACUAGUUUUAAUGGCCUUCAUUGGCACCAGUACACAAGACAGCAUUACUCCAACAUCUCCUGCUGUCCAUGCAAAGGUCAAUGAAAAAGUGACUAUUUCUUGUAAAUACCAGUACACUUUGUCAAUGAAUAAUCUCCAGUGGUAUCGACAAUACCCCAACUCUGUGCCGGAAUUCCUGAUUCUAAUCAUGGAGUCGGGACAAAAGCAGACCGCUACACCUCCUCAUCCUCGGCUCACAGCCUCAGUCAAUAAAGAAAGCAAGACGGUGAAUCUGGAAAUCUUCCCUGCAGAUGUGAAGGAUUCUGCCUUGUAUUACUGUGCACUGCAGCCCACAGUGGCAGGAAACACCAUGUACACCAUACAAAAACCUGCUCAAAGCUAAACGGCUUAGAUGUUAGAAACCAUGAGACCAGAGAGU